GGGUGCGAUCAUACCAGCACUAAUGCACCGGAUCCCAUCAGAACUCCGCAGUUAAGCGUGCUUGGGCGAGAGUAGUACUAGGAUGGGUGACCUCCGGGAAGUCCUCGUGUUGCACCUU
rnacentral:rRNA from 1 species